rnacentral:lncRNA from 10 species
CGGCCCGGCCCAAGGACCCUCUCGGCCUGGCCCGAGAGACCGCGCCCGCGAGGAGGGAGUGGCAGAGCCAUUGAAAACACACCACUCUAUUCAGAACCCCUCCAGAAACACUGAGUACGCGUGGAUACAAAGGAGAAAACCGAAGACACCUGGGCCUACUUGAGAGCGGAGGGUGGGAGGAGCGUGAGGAUCGAAAAACUACCUAUGGCUUACUACGCUUAUUACCUGGGUGACAAAAUAAUCUUUACACCAAACCCCCAUGACAUACAAUUAAUUUAUCCAUGCACAUGUACCCUCUGAACCAAAAAUAAAAGUUGGAAAGUAAAGGAAAAAAAAAAUCACCCUCCAGUGCUUCCCAUCUCACUCUGAAUAAAAU